rnacentral:rRNA from 1 species
CGCGGCCUAUCAGCUUGUUGGUGGGGUAACGGCCUACCAAGGCAUCGACGGGUAGCUGGUCUGAGAGGACGAUCAGCCACACUGGGACUGAGACACGGCCCAGACUCCUACGGGAGGCAGCAGUGGGGAAUAUUGCGCAAUGGGCGAAAGCCUGACGCAGCAACGCCGCGUGGGGGAUGAAGGCUUUCGGGUUGUAAACCCCUUUCAGUGAUGACGAAAAUGACGGUAAUCACAGAAGAAGCCCCGGCCAACUACGUGCCAGCAGCCGCGGUAACACGUAGGGGGCAAGCGUUGUCCGGAUUUAUUGGGCGUAAAGAGCUCGUAGGCGGUUGCGUAAGUCGGAUGUGAAAACUCAGGGCUCAACCCUGAGAUGCCAUUCGAUACUGCGCUGACUAGAGUCCGGUAGAGGAGCAUGGAAUUCCUGGUGUAGCGGUGAAAUGCGCAGAUAUCAGGAGGAACACCAGUAGCGAAGGCGGUGCUCUGGGCCGGUACUGACGCUGAGGAGCGAAAGCAUGGGUAGCAAACAGGAUUAGAUACCCUGGUAGUCCAUGCCGUAAACGUUGGGCACUAGGUGUGGGACCUACUUAACGGGUUCCGUGCCGUAGCUAACGCAUUAAGUGCCCCGCCUGGGGAGUACGG